AAACAGUGCAGAUACUAAAAAUGAAUAAAUGUUUGCAUUAAAAUGAAUGUUAAAACUCUCUUUUCCUUUUCCUUGAAUCAGGAACCAACCUCCUGCAGGGGCUGAGAUCAUGUCAGUGAAUUGGCGAAAUGAGAAUAUCAUUGCAAAAUGUUUAUUGGCAUGGGGGAAUACAUUGGUUACCAUGGAAUCAAAACGGAGAAUCUAACAGCAGAGUAAAGGACCAGGCAUCAAAAGUAUCAGCAGAGUGAGAAACCCUCUUUUAAACAAAAAGGUUUGCCAUAUGAACAUGACUGUGUACCUUUGGACAGCAUCCUGUGCACCACCCAAGUGACUCCACAUCCCUGCUGCACAUUGGAACGUGCUGUAUUGUGGUUUAUACCUUGUGUUAUUUCUGCAAUGCUUUGUUCCUGUACACCCUAUUUUCCCCAAUGGUCUUACCCUUAACUGCCCCUUUUCUUACAUGUUAAUCCCCUUCCCCCUCUGGAGUCAAUCAGCAGAAAAGUACUGAAUCAUUCCCCUGUACCCUCCCUGGUACCUUCUCCAUCACUCGACUCCCCAUCCCACCUAUCUAGAACCUUCCACAUGGGCGUGGAGUGAUUGGGUGUGGGAUCCCUCCUGCCUGCCUUCCCCAUCGGGUAUCCUUCUGUCUCCCCUGAAAUCCCUCAUUGGUCUUGGGGUGAUCCCCUCCCUUGUCUCCUCCUCGGUUUAUAAACUGUUGCUCCCUGCCCCUUGGGGCUCUUGUCUCGUUGCUCUGCUAAGGUUCACGGUUCCUCAGGAGCAUUCAAUAAACCUUGGACUUUGCCUCA